UUCUCGUCCCGCUGGAUUGUCCGCCGUUGGAAUCGGGUCAGGCCCUGACGGGAGCAGCCCUAACAGCAGCGGACGAUGCUUGCGGGGUCACGGGGAAAA
rnacentral:SRP_RNA from 1 species